UACGAAGGGGGCUAGCGUUGCUCGGAAUCACUGGGCUUAAAGCGUGUGUAGGUGGAUGCCUAAGUACCUUGUGAAAUCCCACGGCUUAACCGUGGAACUGCUUGGUAUACUGGGUGUCUUGAGUCACUCAGGGGCGAGUGGAAUUCCCGGUGUAGCGGUGAAAUGCGCAGAUAUCGGGAAGAACACCCGUGGCGAAGGCGAGUCUCGAGGCGUACUGACGCUGAGAGCGAAAGCUGG
rnacentral:rRNA from 1 species